UCCUACGGGACGCAGCAGUGGGGGAUAUUGCACAAUGGGGGAAACCCUGAUGCAGCGACGCCGCGUGGAGGAUGAAGGUUUUAGGAUUGUAAACUCCUUUUGUUAGAGAAGAUUAUGACGGUAUCUAACGAAUAAGCACCGGCUAACUCCGUGCCAGCAGCCGCGGUAAUACGGAGGGUGCAAGCGUUACUCGGAAUCACUGGGCGUAAAGAGCGCGUAGGCGGGAUAGCAAGUCAGAUGUGAAAUCCUAUGGCUUAACCAUAGAACUGCAUUUGAAACUGUUAUUCUAGAGUAUGGGAGAGGUA
rnacentral:rRNA from 1 species